CAGAGGUUGGGCUUAUGUUAUUCAAAAUACAAAAAUUGAUAUCACACUCAACAUGAGGAAAAUAUAAAGAUUUAUUAGCAGAACAUUGCCAUAUACCUGAAUACAACUCCAAUUUCUAAAUCACGAGAGUGAAGAUAUAGAAUCUUAAAGUGACAAGUGCCAAAAAAUUACCAAGUGCUUAAAGUACACUAUCAACGUUCCUAUAUGU